UACGUAGGGGGCAAGCGUUAUCCGGAUUUACUGGGUGUAAAGGGAGCGUAGACGGCUGGCCAAGUCUGAAGUGAAAGCCCGGGGCUUAACCCCGGAACGGCUUUGGAAACUGGCCGGCUGGAGUGCUGGAGAGGCAGGCGGAAUUCCUGGUGUAGCGGUGAAAUGCUUAGAGAUCAUACAGAACACCGAUUGCGAAGGCAGCUUACCAAGCUACUUCUGACGUUGAGGCACGAAAGCGUGGGGAGCAAACAGG
rnacentral:rRNA from 1 species